AUCCAGUUGACGAGUCCCAAAUAGGACGGAACGCGCGUUCUCGAC
rnacentral:hammerhead_ribozyme from 1 species